AAAUGCUUGUUUUGCUUCUUUGAACAGUUUAUUUUCCCAAAAUUCCUUCUAGUGAGUGGUAUGGAUGAUCAAGACUUGUCGGUAUUGCAAGGUUUUACUUCCCGGCUUAUAGUCCCCUUUGCCUUUGUGGUAGAGUUUGUAACCUUUGGGGUUACUAUGAAUGCGAUCAAGCAAGAAGUAGUGAAGCUUGUACUUGUAUGUCGAUCUCUUAUGUGCUCUUUCUUUGAUUUGUAUCUUAUCUAUCAUUCGUUUAACCAUUUUUUGGUAACCUUUUUGGCAAUUGUUGCCUUUUUUCUUUGCAUUUCCUUUGUUAUGGAUGUAUUUUCUUCUCUUGUAUUAGAGGUUGCUGUGACUCUUUAAUCUAAUGAAAGUCAUAUGUUUGCCCAAAAAAAAAAAAAAGAACCAAAAUUUUAUAGAAGUGCCGUUACAUGAUGAGUU
rnacentral:sRNA from 1 species